UAAGGAAUAUUGGUCAAUGGACGAAAGUCUGAACCAGCCAUCCCGCGUGCAGGAAGAAGGGGCUCUGCCUUGUAAACUGCUUUUGAAUGGGACGAAAGAGCUAUAUGCGUAUAGUGUUGACGGUACCAUUAGAAUAAGCACCGGCUAACUCCGUGCCAGCAGCCGCGGUAAUACGGAGGGUGCAAGCGUUAUCCGGAAUUACUGGGUUUAAAGGGUGCGUAGGCGGUGAUAUAAGUCAGUGGUGAAAGGCCGUAGCUUAACUAUGGGAUUGCCAUUGAUACUGUAUGACUUGAAUCAGGAUGAGGUUGGCGGAAUGUGGCAUGUAGCGGUGAAAUGCUUAGAUAUGCCAUAGAACACCGAUUGCGAAGGCAGCUGACUGGACCUUGAUUGACGCUGAGGCACGAAAGCG
rnacentral:rRNA from 1 species